AUGAUAGCACAUGGAUUUAAGAGGUCUGCAUAUGAUAGUUGUGUUUACAUUAAAUUUGUUGAUGGAUCACCUAUAUACUUGCUGUUAUAUGUUGAUGAUAUGUUAAUUGCUGCCAAGGGCAAGAAAGAGAUCACUGCUUUAAAGGCACAGUUAAGUAGUGAGUUUGAGAUGAAGGAUCUUGGUGCUGCUAAGAAAAUUCUAGGUAUGGAGAUUACCAGGGACAGAAAUUCUGGUUUGUUAUUUCUUAGUCAGCAGAGUUACAUUAAGAAAGUUCUUCAUCGUUUUAACAUGCAUGAUGCUAAGCCAGUAAGUGCAUCCAUUGCUCCUCAUUUCAAAUUAUCAUCUUCUCAAUGUCCUAGUACGGAUGAAGAUUUUGAGUAUAUGUCAAGAGUUCCAUAUUCUAGUGUUGUCGGUUCUUUAAUGUAUGUCAUGGUGUGUUCUCAGCCUGAUUUAUCAUUUGCAAUGAGUCUGGUUAGUAGAUUCAUGGCUAACCCUGGUAAAGAACAACGGAAGGUUGUCCAGAAUUUCCAGGUACCUUCGUGGCACUUCCAAUGCUUGUUUGAAAUUCGGCAGGACUGGUGA
rnacentral:rRNA from 1 species